CUUCUUUUAAUUCCAAAUCAGAUUUGGAGUUUUGGGUGAGAGUAAAGAGGUCCUUGGUGAGAGGUGAACGAAAAUUCCAAGUGUACUAAGUGUGGAGGCUAACUUGGUCUAGCAAGGAGGAGAGGAGUUGCUCCCUUUGAAGAAGAGUUUAAGGUGUUUUAGUCUUCAAGAGUGGACUUAUUCUGCAGGGCGCUGAUGGUGUUCUAGUUCGAGGAGGUUUUGGUGAUGGAGGAGUGCAAGGGAAAAUUCUUGCGGCUAAGUAUGCUCGAGAACAUAGUGUUCCAUUUCUGGGCAUUUUCUUG
rnacentral:sRNA from 1 species